rnacentral:rRNA from 1 species
UACGAAGGGUGCAAGCGUUCCUCGGAAUUACUGGGCGUAAAGCGUGCGUAGGUGGUUUUUUAAGUCCGUUGUGAAAGCCCUGGGCUCAACCUGGGAAUGGCAGUGGAUACUGGAAAGCUAGAGUGCGGUAGAGGGUAGUGGAAUUCCCGGUGUAGCAGUGAAAUGCGUAGAGAUCGGGAGGAGCACCAGUGGCGAAGGCGGCUACCUGGACCAGCACUGACACUGAGGCACGAAAGCGUGGGGAGCAAACAGG